rnacentral:rRNA from 1 species
CCUACGGGUGGCUGCAGUGGGGAAUAUUGGACAAUGGGCGAAAGCCUGAUCCAGCCAUGCCGCGUGUGUGAAGAAGGCCUUCGGGUUGUAAAGCACUUUCAGUGGGGAAGAAAGCCUUGGGGCUAAUACCCUCGAGGAAGGACAUCACCCACAGAAGAAGCACCGGCUAACUCCGUGCCAGCAGCCGCGGUAAUACGGAGGGUGCGAGCGUUAAUCGGAAUUACUGGGCGUAAAGCGCGCGUAGGCGGUCUGAUAAGCCGGUUGUGAAAGCCCCGGGCUCAACCUGGGAACGGCAUCCGGAACUGUCAGGCUAGAGUGCAGGAGAGGAAGGUAGAAUUCCCGGUGUAGCGGUGAAAUGCGUAGAGAUCGGGAGGAAUACCAGUGGCGAAGGCGGCCUUCUGGACUGACACUGACGCUGAGGUGCGAAAGCGUGGGUAGCAAACAGGAUUGGAUACCCCUGUAGUC